rfam:Danio rerio chromosome 17, GRCz11 reference primary assembly.
UCCAUUAAAUAUAGCCUCAGCCUUAUCACCCCGCAGCCCAAAAGAGGUUACUCACUGAAGCUAAGCAGGGCUGCACCCGGUCAGUACCUGGAUGGAAGACCACAUGGGAAAACUAGGUUGCUGUUGGAA